UUAGAUCUUUAAUGGAGGCGCAUCGAAUAAGGUUUGAAGACACUCCUUUUGCUGUGAAAAGGGCAUCCUUAUUAUAGUAUGUGUUUUUUUCCUUGAUUUUUGGAUUUUUUCUUCAUGUUUUCCCAUAAAUAUUUUCUUGAACUAUGAUAACUCCUAUUUAUAUGAGUUGUUUAGGUUCUAAAUAUUUAAAUUUAUGAACUAUAAAUUAUGU
rnacentral:lncRNA from 1 species